AAGAAAAAGAAAAAAAAGAAAAAAAACAAAAAAAACAAAAAGGAAAUUGUUCUGAAUGACUACAGU
rnacentral:ribozyme from 1 species